GAUGAAGAACGCAGCGAAAUGCGAUAAGUAAUGCGAAUUGCAGAAUUCCAGUGAGUCAUCGAAUCUUUGAACGCACAUUGCGCCCUUUGGUAUUCCGAAGGGCAUGCCUGUUCGAGCGUCAUUAUCACCCCUCAAGCCCUCGGCUUGGUGUUGGACGGUUUGGUGGAGGCCCCCUCGGGGGCUCCUGCCCCUCCCAAAGACAAUGACGGCGGCCUCGUUGGACCCCCGGUACACUGAGUUCUUCACGGGACACGUAUCGGACACAUGGGUUUACGGGACACGGUCUGCCUCCCCUCAGGGAGAAUCUUUCUAAGGUUGACCUCGGAUCAGGUAGGGAUACCCGCCGAACUUAAGCAUAUCAAUAAGCGGAGGA
rnacentral:misc_RNA from 1 species